AUAACUUGCUGGUUGCUUGUUAUGAUUUUGACGGGUGGUAUUUAUGAAUACAUGUAGAGAAGUGAAGCUAUAUUUACAGAAGCACACACAUUGUAUGCAAUUCAUCAGUGAAUAGCUUAGCUGAAUUCUAAAACAAAACAGAUAUAUCAACACAUUUGGGAAAUCUGUGAAGUUUGCAAGAAGAAAAGACUAUUAAGAAAAGCUAAUAAGAAAACUCAAAGUACCUCAAUAACAAUUGGCUGGUUGAUUGUGAGAAAGGAUUAAAAACCAGCUGAAGGAGAAAUACAAUGGUGGCUUUAAAAAAUGGCAUGCCUGAAUGAAAUGGCAGAAAGGAGUGUGCACACUGCUCAGUUUGUAGGAAAAUCAUUUGAAUAGCAGAAAAGUGUGAAAAAUGAAAAAUACUGAGAAAUUGCUAUAGCUAAAUGCACAAUUGUAAUCUGGGAAGAAUCCUGGAUUCAGUUAACUCAAAGCCAUUGAAGCCACAUAAGGGGAAAGAGAAAACUUUAUGGAAUAACUGGUGGCUUCUCUUUCUUUCUACACUACUUUUUGGAUUGCUCUUUGGUUAGUGACUGGGCAAAUGAUGUGUUCCACCAGAAUGGCAUAAAAUGGCUACUUGCCAUAGAGAUAAUUAUGAUGGAAGUAGAUCUUGCUACAAGAUGAAGGGAAAUGAUAUAACGGGCAAUAGGAAAGUUGCUGACAGGAGAAAGGUAAAGUUGGGGUUUUUCUGAGCUAAGCUUUAUAGAGAUGUCUAUAUAGUUUUCUAGGUAGCAUUGCCAAAGUUGUUUGCUGUAGUGUUCUGCCAGGAUAAUUUUUGGCUCCCUAAUCUAGUUUCUGAACCCAGACAAGGUCUUCUUCUCCAAGGAGCUUGUAUGGUGACUUGAAGGCAGCAAGCCUGGUUUCUUAUUCUAAUCUUUUUAGACUGUUACAAGGUGAAGAAUGAGGGGGCUAACCCAAAUAAACUGAAUCAGAAAAAUAAUACAUUCAAAAAAUUGAAUUGGUUCCAUAUUAUUUCAGAUCUGGACAAAGUAGAAACAGCAAAUAAAACUCCAUUAGUUACAGAGAUGUGUAACUAACCUUGACUGAAUUCAGAAAAGCUAAGUAGCUUAUAAUGCACUUAAUACUUGGAUGAGAAAAGAAAUCUCUCCUUUUUUGGAUGGGGGUGCCUUUCAGUCGAUGUUAAUGUCCUGGCAAUUUUCUGAACAAGUCCAUGAAGUUUUCUUGAUAGGAUUUCCAAAGUGGUUUGCCAUUCCUUCUUCCCAGGGCUGACUAAUGACUUGAUCUAUGCUUAAGGCAAGACUAGAAUUCACACUCUCUCUGGUCUGAUGCCUUAACCACUACACCAGAGCUUUUCAAC